AACGAACGCUGGCGGCGUGGCUAAGACGUGCAAGUCAAACGGUACCGAUUAUUUAUAAUCGGGAUAGUGGCGAAAGGGUUAGUAAUAGAUAGGUAACGUACCCUGUGCUUUGGGAUAGCGUCAUCCCGACUUCGGUCGGGAUUUCCGAAAGGGACGGUAAUACCGAAUAAUAUCAGUUGUCGAUGGGCAACUGAUCAAAGAUUUAUCGGCACGGGAGCGGCCUAUCUCCUAUCAGCUUGUUGGUGAGGUAACGGCUCACCAAGGCAGCGACGGGUAGCGGGACUGAGAGGUUGGCCCGCAACAUCGGGACUGAGACACUGCCCGGACCUCCACGGAGGGCUGCAGUAACGAAUCUUGCGCAAUGGGCGAAAGCCUGACGCAGCGACGCCGCGUGCGGGAGGAAGUCCUUCGGGAUGUAAACCGCUGCCAGGGGUAAGAAAGUCCGCUUCGGCGGAUUGAUCUAACCCAAAGGAAGUCACGGCUAACUUCGUGCCAGCAGCCGCGGUAAGACGAAGGUGGCGAGCGUUGUUCGGUGUUACUGGGCUUAAAGCGUGUGUAGGCGGGUUGGUUAGCGUCCUGUGAAAUCCCUCGGCUUAACCGAGGAAUGGCUGGGCGAACUGCCAACCUUGAGGCAGGUAGGGGCGCAUGGAACUCUUGGUGGAGCGGUGGAACGCGUAGAUAUCAAGAGGAACGCCGAUGGAGAAAUCAGUGCGCUGGGCCUGUCCUGACGCUGAUACACGAAAGCGUGGGGAGCGAACGGGAUUAGAUACCCCGGUAGUCCACGCUGUAAACGAUGUCUACUAGGUCGUGGAGGUUCUGACACCUGCACGGCCGAAGCAAAAGUGUUAAGUAGACCGCCUGGGGAGUACGGUCGCAAGGCUA
rnacentral:rRNA from 1 species